UACAGAGGGUGCGAGCGUUAAUCGGAAUUACUGGGCGUAAAGCGUGCGUAGACGGUUACAUAAGUCGGGUGUGAAAGCCCCGGGCUCAACCUGGGAAUUGCAUUCGAGACUGCGUAGCUAGGGUGCGGAAGAGGGAAGCGGAAUUUCCGGUGUAGCGGUGAAAUGCGUAGAUAUCAGGAGGAACACCGGUGGCGAAGGCGGGUCUCUGGGCCGAAACUGACGCUGAGGAGCGAAAGCGUGGGGAGCGAACAGG
rnacentral:rRNA from 1 species